GGUGCUAUAGUGUAGUGGUUAUCACUCGGGAUUUUGAAGCGUGGAUAGAUAUGUCUAAGUUUAACCACCGCACUUUAGCAGCUUCCCGAAACCCAGGUUCGAACCCUGGUAGCACCU